rnacentral:tRNA from 2 species
GGCCCAGUAGUUCAGCUGGUUAGAACGCUAGCCUGUCACGCUAGAGGUCGACGGUUCGAGCCCGUUCUGGGUCGCCA